GCUUGCUUAGCUCAACGGUAGAGCAAUCGGCUGUUAACCGAUCGGUUGUAGGUUCGAAUCCUAUAGCAAGCGCCA
rnacentral:tRNA from 1 species